rnacentral:lncRNA from 1 species
AAGAGUUGCAGAUCAGCCUCCAGCAAGUUUCAAAUGAAAGAAAUGAGAUGAAGUGGGAACUAGAGAGGAAAAAGGCUCAGCUAGAGGCAACUGAGGAAAAGGUCGAUAAAGAAAAGCACAAGAGAAAGAAGGUGAAAGUGGGCAUAGAACAGGCUGACCUCUGCUUAGAAAUUAUCAAAGAGCAGUUGAAACAAGUUGAGAAAUAAUGCCAAAAGAAUAAGUGAUGGUGGCUACGAGCAACAAAAGAAAAGAAAGAAGUUAGAGAGACAUUAGAGGCUAAGAUACAUGAUCUCAUUGUCUCCCUUCAUAAUUCUGAAGCUCAAGCGGAG